rnacentral:lncRNA from 1 species
AUAAUUAUUUCUAGACUUAAAUAUAGAAUACUUUCUAGAAUUAAAUACAGAAUAAUUUCUAGACUUAAAUAUAGAAUUAUUUAUAAUAAUCAGGGAUUUGGGAAUCCAGAUAUCCAUGGUUUGAGCUGUGGUGCUUGUGUGGAAUUUUACUUUCAUCCUGGAUUUUCCUGCUGGGAUUUGCCUCUGGAUGUGUUUGGGAUUAUUGGAACCCUUCACAGAAAUUUGUGUUAUCCUGCAAUUUAUUGACAAAGUGCUAAAAAUCCCGGGAAAGGAGCCAAUAAUAGGAACCUGAAGCAGAGAAAACCUGCAGGAGUGGUUUGUGCAUCCCUUUUCCAAACUCAUUAAAUUUCUUUUGGAGAACUCUUCCCGGGAUUGAAGAACUGCAGAGCCUGCCAGGCUUUUUAAUUGGAGAAACAGGGAUGGCAUCAAAGGCCUUUUCCUCUGCUUUUGCUCUUAAAAACAUGAAAAAAUUCUCAUUAUUGGAGCCACAGGAGGGGUUCUCUCAGAUCCAUGGGGGUGAGGGAGAAAAGAGCUGGGCCAGAUCUGAAAAUUCUGAGAAUUCCAUUCAAAAUGGGAUUUUUUUUGGGAUGUCUGCUCUCAGGGUCAGCGAGAAACCUCAGUGGAAAUUCAGCAACUUUAAAUCCCCCCCCCCCCCCCCCCCCCCCCCCCCCCCCCCCCCCCCCCCCCCCCCCCCCCCCCCCCCCCCCCCCCCCCCCCCCCCCCCCCCCCCCCCCCCCCCCCCCCCCCCCCCCCCCCCCCCCCCCCCCCCCCCCCCCCCCCCCCCCCCCCCCCCCCCCCCCCCCCCCCCCCCCCCCCCCCCCCCCCCCCCCCCCCCCCCCCCCCCCCCCCCCCCCAAAAAAAAAAAAAGCGGAUUUAGAGGAUUCAUCACUUCAGAUGCUGAAAGCAGCUUUGAAACCACAUUUAUUUUAUUUUCAAUAUUUAAAGGAAAUAUUCCUUUAAAACUCUCAGGGCUGAACAUCCUGCAGAUCUUUUCCCCGUGCUGCCGUUACAGGAGAUCUGCCAGUGGAAAAUCCAAUAUUUUUUUGGUCAUGUGGACAACAAACAUUUGGCCCUGGCAGAUUUCCUGGGGUUGGGAGCUUCAGAUUCCCUCUGCCCCCGUGGAGCUGCAGGGCUGGAAAAAAGGGAAAAAGAGAUUUUUAAAGCUGAGGAAAAGGGAAAAAAGGGAUUUUUAAAUCCUGCGGUGCUGGGAUGUGGGGAUGCUGCUGGUUAAAUAUAGAUCCAGACUGCUCCUCCUGGAGAAAUUCACGGGCAGAGAGAACCCUGCAGGGCUCCAGAUCACAGGAUCCUGGGAUGGUUUGGGAUGGAAGGGACCUUGAAUACCCUUGAACACCCUUGAAUAUCCUUAAAUAUCCUUGAAUGUCCUUAAAUAUCCUUGAAUACCAUUAAAUAUCCUUGAAUACCAUUAAAUAUCCUUGAAUAUCCUUAAAUAUAAUUGAAUGUCUUUGAAUAUUCUAAUCCUUGAAUAUUCUUAAAUAUAAUUGAAUAUUUUUGAAUAUUCUUGAAUACCAUUAAAUAUUCUUGAAUAUUCUUAAAUAUCCCUGAAUAUCCCUGAAUAUUCUUAAAUAUCAUUGAAUAUCCUUAAAUACCAUUAAAUAACUUUGAAUAUUCUUAAAUGUUCUUUAAUAUCCUUGAAUAUUCUUAAAUAUCCUUGAAUAUCCUUGAACACCAUUAAAUAUUCUUGAAUAUCCUUAAAUUUCCUUGAAUAUCCUUGAAAAUCCUUAAAUAUCCUUGAAUACCAUUAAAUAUCCUUGAAUACCAUUAAAUAUCCUUGAAUAUUCUUAAAUAUAAUUGAAUAUCUUUGAAUAUCCUUGAAUACCAUUAAAUAUUCUUGAAUAUCCUUAAAUUUCCUUGAAUAUCCUUGAAAAUCCUUAAAUAUCCUUGAAUACCAUUAAAUAUCCUUGAAUAUCAUUAAAUAUCCUUGAAUAUCCUUGAAUAUUCUCAAAUAUCAUUGGAUAUCCUUGAAUAUCCUUGAAUAUCCUUGAAUACCAUUAAAUAUUCUUGAAUAUCCUUAAAUAUCCUUGAAUACCAUUAAAUAUCUUUGAAUAUCCUUGAAUACCAUUAGAUAUCCUUGAAUAUCCUUGAAUAUCCUUAAAUAUGCCCAAAUAUCCUCGAAUAUCCUCAAACACCCACAGGCUUCCACUAUCCCAGGUUGCUCCAGGGAUUGGGGCAGCCUCAGUUUCUCUGGGGAUCAGUGUCUCCCAGCCAGGAAUUCCUUCCCAAAAUCCCACCUCAGUCACCCCCAGCCCUUCAGUUUAAAGCCAUUCCCUCCUGUCCUUGUCACUCCUUUAUUGGAUUUAAAAUCCAAGCCCUUUUUUUUUUUUUUUUUUUUUUUUUUUUUCCUCUGCAGCGAUUUCUUUCCCACUCCUUAUUUACCUCCUGGAUGUGCUGGCAGCUUUCCCUGGGUGUUUGCCCUCGGUGAAUGGUGGAUGCUGCUGUCAGAGGUUUUUGUCAGCAGCUGACUGAUGCCUCCCCAGUAUUAUUUAUUUAUUGUUUCAAUAAUCUGCCUGGGGCAGUUUGCUGCUCCAAAGCUGACAGCAGUGCCCAGCUGGUUUUUCCGUGGGUACCUGCUCCUUGGCCUGGUUACUUUUGUAUUAUUCAUUAUUUUUUAUUUACAGCCCUCCACA